AUUGAACGCUGGCGGCAGGCUUAACACAUGCAAGUCGAGCGGUAACAGAGAGAAGCUUGCUUCUCUGCUGACAAGCGGCGGACGGGUGAGUAAUGCCUAGGAAUCUGCCUAGUAGUGGGGGAUAACUUGCCGAAGGGUAAGCUAAUACCGCAUACGUCCUACGGGAGAAAGGAGGGGACCUUCGGGCCUUUCGCUAUUAGAUGAGCCUAGGUCGGAUUAGUUAGUUGGUGAGGUAAUGGCUCACCAAGACCGCGAUCCGUAACUGGUCUGAGAGGAUGAUCAGUCACACUGGAACUGAGACACGGUCCAGACUCCUACGGGAGGCAGCAGUGGGGAAUAUUGGACAAUGGGGGGAACCCUGAUUCAGCCAUGCCGCGUGUGUGAAGAAGGUCUUAGGAUUGUAAAGCACUUUAAGUUGGGAGGAAGAGCAGUUAACUAAUAUUUGACUGUUUUGACGUUACCGACAGAAUAAGCACCGGCUAACUUCGUGCCAGCCGCCGCGGUAA
rnacentral:rRNA from 1 species